UGGUGGAGUGAUUUGUCUGGUUGAUUCCGUUAACGAACGAGAUCUCGACCCUUAAAUAGGUGGCUUGUCGCUUAGACUUUAUCCUCGGACUUAGUCGAGACGAGCAACUACUUCUUAAGGGGACUGCGUUGCGACUAUAGCACGCGGAAGAGCGAGCCAAUAGCA
rnacentral:rRNA from 1 species